rnacentral:lncRNA from 1 species
CCACAAUCACAGACAGAUGAGAGUGGUGGUGCCAUAUUUAAUUGGCAGGCACACCUUGGCCAAGCUAUACUUAAGCACUCACGAGGGAAUUUAGACAGCACAUCCAUGGGGGCUCAUGUUGGCACAACAGCUGCGGGCACUUUUAUGCCUUCCCUGGGGAUGGUGCUGGCUGUCGGUGGAGGGAUGUGGCCAUGGGGCUGAGGCUCAUUCUGGGAAGGAUCUGGGUGCAUUGUAGACACUAAGCCUGUCCUUUUGUCCUGCUAGGCAAUGUGGUGAAUUCCCCAGCAAGUCCAUCACCCCCAGGAGAGUGAUUCCCUACUGCACCUCCUGUACCCCCAGGUGAGUGAUUCCCUCCUGCUCCCCCAGGACCUCCAGGUCCCCCUGUCCCUGCAGCACCACCUCUGCUGCAGACAUGGGGCUGUGCAGGGCCCAUGCACAGAGAAGAAAGGAUGGGGAUGUGGAUGGAUGCUGGAUUGAGCCAGGGAUGUUCCAAUGUCUGUCCUGUGCAUUGAUGAGCCUGUGGCAGGGCAAGUAGAGUAAUUGUCAUGAGCUGAGCUGUAAUGUACGUGUGAGCACAGGGACAAUAUUUCUGGCACUAAAACUAUGGCUGGAGUCAUAUUGUGAAAGAAGUGAUAUUGGAGUGCUCAGGGAUCUAGGCAACUCUCCCUCGAAAAAUAAACCAACCAAAAAUGGCUAGAGAUGGACACAGGGCAGAAAACCUCUGCUGCAGACUUUGCAGGGCCCAUGCAUAAAAAACAUGGGCUUGGGAUGUUGAUGGACCAUUGGGCUGUACGGCUACUGCUCCAAGAUUUCCCUCUAAACUUUAUGAACCUAUGAAAAUCAAUUUACACAAGCUCAGUUGUUCAUUUUGGCCAUUUUCUCCAGGAAGCAAUACACGAGCUCAGGGUCUGCUCAGUAUCUGGGAUUGUCCCAUCACAAAGGUCUAGAAACUCACAGCAUGUUCAUGUCUCCCACAGGCAGCAGCCCCUCACACAAGGCCCAGCUCCCUUCCAGAGGGUCAGCCAUGCCCCUGGAGGUCUGGAUCCUGCGCUCUGCCCUCAGCCUGCUCCUGCUGCUGUCUGCCCCCAUCAUCACCCUCCUCCUGGAGAGAUACAGCCACAGUGCUUGUGAGGCCAGGCAGCCUGGAGACGUCCCUGUCCCCAUGGAGCUCUGAUGUCUUCUUGGGCUCCAUGCUAUCCAGAGCCUGCUCCCUCAUGCUCAGAGCAUGACCCCCACACAUUUGCCAGACACUCACUGCCUUUGGUCUCAAUGUAGCUGAGGCAGCAUGCCCAAGGGAUGUGCUGCCACUGCUCUGCUUGCCUUGGUUCAGACCCUGCUCUCUGCUACUACUUUUGCCUAUUACUUUAAACGGAGAUGGGAUAACUUUUCACCAAUCAUAACUAAGAUAUGCUUGACUAGAGUCACUCAAACUCCACCUGAAAGAUAGAAAAUAAUAUAAAUUGGCCUAAGAGAGAGGGGAUGUUGGGGAAGAUAUUGUAAUACACAAUAAAUGUUUGUUCAUUUUCUUUUGUAUUGUAAAA